UUUCGCACGUAGAUUAUUUGGUUGGGUAUUAUUUUGCUCGUAUCUAACUUCACUCUUCGCAGUCAGAAUGACAUUCCACAAGAUGUUUUGUUUGUUUUAUUUUACUUUUUGUAUAAAAUAGUGAUCUGAAUAGUUCGCCUAAAGUUAAACAAGUAAUUUGGUCCUCGUAUGGAGUACUAAGUCGACUCAAAAUGAAACGUCCGUGAAUUCUGUAAUUGCGAAACGAACAACAUUUGACAAAAUUCAAUCGUCGUUUGUUCCGUUCUGCCACAAUGGUUAUUUUAUGCAGUUCGCCGAUUCAAAAUAAACAAAGAUAAAAAUUAAUGAAUGUAGCACUGCUACAUUGUAGCAGCAUGAAAACGGACAAUAUUACCUUCUAGGAGCUAACAGAAUGAUCGGAUCAAUGGAUCUGUGUUUAUACCGAAGGCAGGGAUAGGACAAUGAAUAAUGUCCAUAAAAACUGCUGGCAACACACCAUUACACCGAUGACGAAAAAUUGGACGGAAGAACUGGAUGCGUUUUCCGAGAUUAUGACGGUGGUUCAAACUUUACUUGAAUUGGACGAUUAACAUCAUACGGAACAGGAAUUAAGUAAACCAGUUGAAUUCCUCGGAUGUGAUGAACACUUGAUGCUGAGGACGUUGUCUUCUCCAAAAAGGUUGAACGGUGAAGAGCUAAGGAAUGGAAUUUCAUCACAAUCUUGGAUGGCAGCCUUUGGAUAAAUUUGCAAGGAACGUUUCAGUGCUUCCUGCUAAGCUGAAAUUGAGUGCACAUUAUCUCUUCUGUAAAAACAAAACAAAAUUAAUCAGAUUGCAAAGGAAGUCUAGAAGUUUUGCAGGUUGACUAGGUUACUCUUCAUUUCCGAUUUGCAUUAAAAAUUGUAAACAACGAAUGUACGAGUUCAAGACACAUAAAAGUAUUUGAUAUGAAUUUAUUCGUAAAAUUAAACAAUGAAAAAUCUUGUCCUACCGUUCUCACAUUA